rnacentral:rRNA from 1 species
AUUGAACGCUGGCGGCAGGCCUAACACAUGCCAGUCGAACGGUAACAGAAAGCAGCUUGCUGCUUUGCUGACGAGUGGCGGACGGGUGAGUAAUGUCUGGGAAACUGCCUGAUGGAGGGGGAUAACUACUGGAAACGGUAGCUAAUACCGCAUAACGUCGCAAGACCAAAGAGGGGGACCUUCGGACCUCUUGCCAUCGGAUGUGCCCAGAUGGGAUUAGCUAGUAGGUGGGGUAACGGCUCACCUAGGCGACGAUCCCUAGCUGGUCUGAGAGGAUGACCAGCCACACUGGAACUGAGACACGGUCCAGACUCCUACGGGAGGCAGCAGUGGGGAAUAUUGCACAAUGGGCGCAAGCCUGAUGCAGCCAUGCCGCGUGUAUGAAGAAGGCCUUCGGGUUGUAAAGUACUUUCAGCGGGGAGGAAGGGAGUAAAGUUAAUACCUUUGCUCAUUGACGUUACCCGCAGAAGAAGCACCGGCUAACUCCGUG